rnacentral:tRNA from 1 species
UUCCUGGCAGUCCAGUGGUUAGGACUCGGUGUUUUCACUGCUGAGGCCUGGGUUCAAUCCAUGGCUGGGAAA